AUGGAGACUACUGUUCAAGAUAUACAGGUGAAAGAAGUCAUACAUAAUAAAUUUACCUCGGCUUGUCAAACUGCUACUAACCCUUCUCAGAUUGUGGAGGUGACUGGUGAGGUGGACCCUGGGUUGAAGACUUCAUGCAGCUAUAUGGUACAACUCCCAUCUUCUGAAAACAUGGAGGAGAUCAUUCUUACCCCUCCACUAGCAACUGAAGCCCCACUGAGAUUCAGCAAACGUAACGCCUCUGGGAUGCAGGGCAAGAUUGAGGACAAGGCCAAGAAACUGGCUAGUAAGAAAAAUCUGGAAGGUAACAAUACCCAUGCUUCCAAAAAUUCCUUUGAUGUACUUUCUGACAAUGAGUUGAUUAGUAGAGCUAAUAAGAUAGGGGCAGACAUACCCAAUGAUAAUUUCGCUGUUAUUGACAUUAUUAGAGAGCUUGAAUGCGCCCGAAAAGAAUUAGAAGAUAAAAGGGAAGAUAACAACACUGAAAUAGUACGGGAUAACUUGAUUGUGACAGACGGUUUGGGUAGGAACACCCCUGUGAAUUUAGAAUGGUUGGACCAGGAAGAACAUAUAUAUGAACAUAUCUCUUCUAUUAAACCUAAGAAAAAAACAUAG
rnacentral:rRNA from 1 species